AUUCAUGAGUUGAUGCUCAACCACUGAGCAACACUAGCCAGGCUAAAAUGAUUAAUUUUAUGUUGUGUGAAGUUUACCUCAAUUUAAGGGUGCCCUCAGAAGCCCCUCUCCCAUGACCAUUUGGUACUGACUAUGUGCCCAGUGCUGGCCAGCAGCUGAAACUCUCCAGGCUGUUUUGACCUCAGAGUGCCUUCUCUUAAUCUCUAGGCUGAUGUUUCUCAACAUGAUUCCAAAUUUCCUGACCUGAGAGGACUCUGCAGUUCAGAAGUGCCACGCCUGACUGUCCAUCGGCCCCAAUCCAGGCACUUUCUUCCUUUUUCACCUCCACUAUAGUUAUUGUGUAUCUCACCCAAAGUCUGUGAGCUGUCUGAGGUGAGGGACCAUCUCUACCUCAUUUCCUGCAUCUUCCAAGAUCCAAAAAUUACAGGAAGUGAUCACCCAGUAAAACCUGAAUGACAAGAAAAAGCCCAUCGGUAAAGAUCCUGGGAGAAAAUGGAGAAAAUUCUAGGCCUGGUAAUAGCAAAGCCUUGUUCAUUUGGGACCCAGCUGCCAUGUUGUGAGGAAGUUCAAACUGGCCCAUAUGAAGAGACCACUGUAUAGAUAUUCCAGCUGACAGCCCAGCUGAGGCUCCAGCCAGCAUCAAUCAUGAGACAUGAACGAACGAAGAUUCCUUCUGAUGAUUCUGGAGGACUGGCAUCUAGACACUCAACUUUGAAUUCUUCCCAGCUGGGGCUACAGACAGCAUGGAGCAGAGAUAAACCAUCCCCACUGUGCCCUGCCUAAAUUCCUGAUCCACACAAUUCAAUGGCAAAAUAAAAACGGUUAUUUAGGGAAGGUUAGCAUGUAAUUGCAACUGAAAUACUAGUAUAUACAUCCAUGUAUAUAUGACAGAAAUAAAAGUUUUACCAAACAA